AUUGAACACUGGCGGCAGGCCUAACACAUGCAAGUCGAACGGUAACAGGGAUCAGCUUGCUGAUUCGCUGACGAGUGGCGGACGGGUGAGUAAUGUCUGGGAAACUGCCUGAUGGAGGGGGAUAACUACUGGAAACGGUAGCUAAUACCGCAUAACGUCGCAAGACCAAAGAGGGGGACCUUCGGGCCUCUUGCCAUCGGAUGUGCCCAGAUGGGAUUAGCUAGUAGGUGGGGUAACGGCUCACCUAGGCGACGAUCCCUAGCUGGUCUGAGAGGAUGACCAGCCACACUGGAACUGAGACACGGUCCAGACUCCUACGGGAGGCAGCAGUGGGGAAUAUUGCACAAUGGGCGCAAGCCUGAUGCAGCCAUGCCGCGUGUAUGAAGAAGGCCUUCGGGUUGUAAAGUACUUUCAGCGGGGAGGAAGGGAGUAAAGUUAAUACCUUUGCUCAUUGACGUUACCCGCAGAAGAAGCACCGGCUAACUCCGUG
rnacentral:rRNA from 1 species